rnacentral:rRNA from 1 species
UACGGAGGGUGCAAGCGUUAUCCGGAUUCACUGGGUUUAAAGGGAGCGUAGGUGGGAUGGUAAGUCAGUGGUGAAAUCUCCGGGCUUAACCCGGAAACUGCCAUUGAUACUAUAAGUCUUGAAUUAUCUGGAGGUAAGCGGAAUAUGUCAUGUAGCGGUGAAAUGCUUAGAUAUGACAUAGAACACCAAUUGCGAAGGCAGCUUACUACGGAUAUAUUGACACUGAGGCACGAAAGCGUGGGGAUCAAACAGG